UUCCGGUUGAUCCUGCCGGAAGUCACUGCUAUUGGGAUUCGACUAAGCCAUGCGAGUCGAGAGGGUUCGGCCCUCGGCUGACGGCUCAGUAACACGUGGAUAAUCUGCUCUUAGGUGGAGGAUACCCUCGGGAAACUGAGAAUAAUACUCCAUAGGUCUGGGAUGCUGGAAUGCACCUAGGCUCAAAGUUCCGGCGCCUAAGGAUGAGUCUGCGGACUAUCAGGUUGUAGUCAGGGUAAUGGCCUGACUAGCCUACGACGGAUAUGGGUUGUGAGAGCAAUAACCCAGAGAUGAUAUCUGAGACACGAUAUCAGGCCCUACGGGGCGCAGCAGGCGCGAAAACUUCACAAUGUGCGAAAGCACGAUGAGGGAAUCCCAAGUGCUUGCACGUAAGUGUAAGCUGUUUCUAUGUUUAAAACGCAUAGAGAGUAAGAGCUGGGUAAGACGGGUGCCAGCCGCCGCGGUAAUACCCGCGCCACGAAUGGUGAUCACGAUUAUUGGGUCUAAAGCGUCCGUAGCCGGUUUAGUGAGUUCUUGGUGAAAUCUGCUAGCUAACUAGCAAGCUUGCUGAGAAUACUGCUAAACUUGGGAUCGGGAUAGGAUGAAGGUAUUCCAUGAGUAGGGGUUAAAUCCUUUAAUCCAUGGAGGACCACCGGUGGCGAAGGCGUUCAUCUGGAACGAAUCCGACGGUGAGGGACGAAAGCUAGGGGAGCAAACGGGAUUAGAUACCCCGGUAGUCCUAGCUGUAAACGAUGCCCGCUUGAUGUUGCAGGCUUUACGGGAGCUUGCAGUGUUGGAGUGUAGAUGUUAAGCGGGCCACCUGGGGAGUACGGUCGCAAGGCUGAAACUUAAGGAAUUGGCGGGAGAGCACACAAGAGUGGAGACUGCGGUUUAAUUGGAAUCAACGCCGG
rnacentral:rRNA from 1 species